UACGAAGGGUGCAAGCGUUACUCGGAAUUACUGGGCGUAAAGCGCACGUAGGCGGCGCAGCAAGUCAGGGGUGAAAUCCCGGGGCUCAACCCCGGAACUGCCCUUGAAACUGCAGUGCUAGAAUCUUGGAGAGGCGAGUGGAAUUCCGAGUGUAGAGGUGAAAUUCGUAGAUAUUCGGAAGAACACCAGUGGCGAAGGCGACUCGCUGGACAAGUAUUGACGCUGAGGUGCGAAAGCGUGGGGAGCAAACAGG
rnacentral:rRNA from 1 species